rnacentral:lncRNA from 1 species
CAGUGAUAAAUGCUUGUUUUAAGCUUCUGGGUUUUGGGGUGGUGUGUUAGGCAGCCUCACUGGGGCAGUGGCUGACGGGUACAAUCAGAUGAACCCUGAGGCCCCUGGAAGCUUCGAGUGUCUAUGAGGGACCUUUCCCGGCCUUUCAGCCAAAUUGGAAGACCCACUUCUCUGGACUGGAUGCUGCAUUGAAUUGAGCAAAGGAACUGAGUGCCCGGGGAGCUCAAAGGGAAGCAGCCCAGCCUUCCUUCUGGGGCAGAGCAGUGGUGGGGACCUGUUUCCAGCUGCUUGUGCCCCCCACUUCAUGGAGGAGGGACCAGGGAUCCUCAGAGGAGAGGAAUCGGCUCCCAGACACCUGCCACUCGUGAAUGCAUCUGAUAAACUCACUCACACUGAGGCCUUGGGGACUGAGAAUCCCCAGGACUCCCUAGGGAAGGAGGUCCCAGCCUGGCCUCCCAAGACCGUGCUUGCCCAAUUCCAGGACUUCCUCACAUGGCUCCUACCUCCAGCACAGAAGCGGCACUAAACCAGGUGGUCAAUCAGGGAGCACCACCGAGGUUCUGAAUGGUCCAG